AAGGAGGCUUCUCUGGCUCCGGUCUCACCGGCUUAUGACUCCGGGCGUGGAGGUUCUGAGCCUUAUGCCAUCGGCUUUUGAUCGUCACCCCUUUCCUGAAGGGUGUGACUGUAGCUUUGCCCAUGUUUUAUGUGUUCUCGGUUUGAUUCCUUCAGAAGAGAUCUCGAAUAGAUCUAUUGAAUCUCUUUGAUGGCGAUGAAGCGAUGGUGUUGACGACAAACAAGAGGAGGUGUGGGAUUUCUUUAAUCUCGUGAUUGGCGGCUUGGUGGCUCAGGAUGAGAUCUCGACGUCAGUGGAUGGAAGCUCUCUGCGAAAGGAGCUCAGCCGUGGAUGGUGGUGGUGAUCGGGUGCGGUUUCCGGUGAUAGUUGCGUGUUCUCUCUGGCGUUGGAGGAAGGAGAAGGGAUUUGGUGACACGUGUAUUUCGCAGUUGAGAUCUCAACACGUGUGCCAUCGUGUUGGCGUUUGGGGCGGUGCCGUUUUUAGGCUUUGUUGUUCGGGCCGGGUCUUUGGGCGUAUAUCCCUUGGAUGGGUUUUAGGAUAGUUUUAUGGGCAUGUUUUUUGGGCUCCGUUGUAAUGGUUUUGGGCUUGGUCCAAUUGGACCUUAUCCCCUUAAUAUAUAUAUAUAUAUUUUUUUUUUUUUUUUGAAACACCCUUAUCCCCUUAAUAUAAUAAUAAUAGAUGGAAAAAAAAAAAGCUUUCUAUUCUUUUACGAAACAGAGAAGUAAAAGACAAAGUCGCAUAAACCCAGAAGCUCUAAUGGAACGAGUAUUUAAGAUCAAAAGAUUUAUUAUUAUUUUUUUCCUUUUAAGAACAACCGAUAAACCCGAAUCAACAAUAUAAACUUAAAGCGACUAAAGUUAAUAACGAGAAGAGCUGAGUAGGCAUGGACAUUCGGGGCACAAUCGGGUUUUGGUUUAGUCCAAUCGGAUUUCGGUUUUUCGGGUUUAUCAAAAUCAGCACAUUCGGAUUAUAUGAAAAUUCGGUUCGGAACCGGUUCGGGUUCUA
rnacentral:lncRNA from 1 species